AACGAACGCUGGCGGCAUGCCUAACACAUGCAAGUCGAACGAUUGCCUUCGGGUGAUAGUGGCGCACGGGUGCGUAACGCGUGGGAAUCUGCCCUUAGGUUCGGAAUAACAGCUGGAAACGGCUGCUAAUACCGGCUGAUAUCGCGAGAUCAAAGAUUUAUCGCCUGAGGAUGAGCCCGCGUUGGAUUAGGUAGUUGGUGGGGUAAAGGCCUACCAAGCCGACGAUCCAUAGCUGGUCUGAGAGGGUGAUCAGCCACACUGGGACUGAGACACGGCCCAGACUCCUACGGGAGGCAGCAGUGGGGAAUAUUGGACAAUGGGCGCAAGCCUGAUCCAGCAAUGCCGCGUGAGUGAUGAAGGCCCUAGGGUUGUAAAGCUCUUUUACCCGGGAAGAUAAUGACUGUACCGGGAGAAUAAGCCCCGGCUAACUCCG
rnacentral:rRNA from 1 species